rnacentral:rRNA from 1 species
AGAGUUUGAUCCUGGCUCAGAUUGAACGCUGGCGGCAGGCCUAACACAUGCAAGUCGAGCGGUAGCACAGAGAGCUUACUCUUGGGUGACGAGCGGCGGACGGGUGAGUAACGCGUAGAAAUCUGCCUGGUAGUUGGGGAUAGCCCGGAGAAAUCCGGAUUAAUACCGAAUGUGCUCUUAGGAGGAAAGCGGGGGAUCUUCGGACCUCGCGCUACCAGAUGAGUCUGCGUAGGAUUAGCUAGUUGGUGGGGUAAAGGCUCACCAAGGCGACGAUCCUUAGCUGGUCUGAGAGGAUGAUCAGCCACACUGGGACUGAGACACGGCCCAGACUCCUACGGGAGGCAGCAGUGGGGAAUAUUGGACAAUGGGGGCAACCCUGAUCCAGCCAUGCCGCGUGUGUGAAGAAGGCCUUCGGGUUGUAAAGCACUUUCAGUGGUGAGGAAGGGUGUUGUGUUAAUAGCGCACACAUUGACGUUAGCCACAGAAGAAGCACCGGCUAACUCCGUGCCAGCAGCCGCGGUAAUACGGAGGGUGCAAGCGUUAAUCGGAAUUACUGGGCGUAAAGCGCGCGUAGGCGGUUUGUUAAGUGAGAUGUGAAAGCCCCGGGCUCAACCUGGGAAUUGCAUCUUAUACUGGCAGGCUAGAGUAUGGUAGAGGUGGGUAGAAUUCCUGGUGUAGCGGUGAAAUGCGUAGAGAUCAGGAGGAAUACCGGUGGCGAAGGCGGCCCACUGGACCAAUACUGACGCUGAGGUGCGAAAGCGUGGGGAGCAAACAGGAUUAGAUACCCUGGUAGUCCACGCCGUAAACGAUGUCAACUAGCCGUUGGGGAGUUUAAUCUCUUUAGUGGCGCAGCUAACGCACUAAGUUGACCGCCUGGGGAGUACGGCCGCAAGGUUAAAACUCAAAUGAAUUGACGGGGGCCCGCACAAGCGGUGGAGCAUGUGGUUUAAUUCGACGCAACGCGAAGAACCUUACCUACUCUUGAAAUCCAGAGAAUUUAGCAGAGAUGCUUUAGUGCCUUCGGGAACUCUGAGACAGGUGCUGCAUGGCUGUCGUCAGCUCGUGUUGUGAAAUGUUGGGUUAAGUCCCGUAACGAGCGCAACCCUUAUCCUUAUUUGCCAGCGGGUCAUGCCGGGAACUCUAAGGAGACUGCCGGUGACAAACCGGAGGAAGGCGGGGACGACGUCAAGUCAUCAUGGCCCUUACGAGUAGGGCUACACACGUGCUACAAUGGGGCGUACAGACGGUUGCGAAGCAGCGAUGUGAAGCCAACCCGACAAAGCGUCUCGUAGUCCGGAUCGCAGUCUGCAACUCGACUGCGUGAAGUCGGAAUCGCUAGUAAUCGUGAAUCAGCAUGUCACGGUGAAUACGUUCCCGGGCCUUGUACACACCGCCCGUCACACCAUGGGAGUUGAUUGCACCAGAAGUAGGUAGCUUAACCUUCGGGGGAGCGCUUACCACGGUGUGGUUAAUGACUGGGGUGAAGUCGUAACAAGGUAACC